UACGGAAGGGGCAAGCGUUGUUCGGAAUCAUUGGGCGUAAAGGGCGCGUAGGUGGUUCUGUAUGUCUACUGUGAAAGCAUACGGCUCAACCGUGUUAGGCCGGUAGAAACUGCAGGACUUGAGGCUGGGAGGGGCUGGUGGAAUUCCCCGUGUAGCGGUGAAAUGCGUAGAGAUGGGGGAGAACACUCGUGGCGAAGGCGGCCAGCUAGACCAGUUCUGACACUGAGGCGCGACAGCGUGGGGAGCAAACAGG
rnacentral:rRNA from 1 species